UACGAAGGGGGCGAGCGUUGUUCGGAAUUACUGGGCGUAAAGCGCACGUAGGCGGACUGUUAAGUCAGGGGUGAAAUCCCGGGGCUCAACCCCGGAACUGCCUUUGAUACUGGCGGUUUCGAGUCCGGAAGAGGUUAGUGGAAUUCCCAGUGUAGAGGUGAAAUUCGUAGAUAUUGGGAAGAACACCAGUGGCGAAGGCGGCUAACUGGUCCGGUACUGACGCUGAGGUGCGAAAGCGUGGGGAGCAAACAGG
rnacentral:rRNA from 1 species